rnacentral:tRNA from 1 species
GCCCAUGUGGCGAAAUUGGUAGACGCACCAGCUUCAGGUGCUGGCGCCUUCACGGGCGUGCUGGUUCGAGUCCAGUCGUGGGCA